CAGUAGCCGCGGGAAUACGAAGGGUGCAAGCGUUACUCGGAAUUACUGGGCGUAAAGCGUGCGUAGGUGGUGGUUUAAGUCCGUUGUGAAAGCCCUGGGCUCAACCUGGGAAUUGCAGUGGAUACUGGGUCACUAGAGUGUGGUAGAGGAUAGUGGAAUUUCCGGUGUAGCAGUAAAAUGCGUAGAGAUCGGAAGGAACAUCUGUGGCGAAGGCGACUAUCUGGGCCAACACUGACACUGAGGCACGAAAGCGUGGGGAGCAAACAGGAUUAGAUACCCCUGUAGUCCCUGUCUCUUAUAC
rnacentral:rRNA from 1 species